rnacentral:SRP_RNA from 1 species
GCCGAGCUCAGUAACGAGGGCUUGUGACCCGAGUGGGGGCAUCAAUGUGGUGGAACAUGGGCUCGGAUCUACUGGACCGGGUCUGAUGUGGCAAUUUGCUGGCCUGCCGGUUCCAAGCCGAGAGUUGAACCAUGCGGUCCGGGCGAAGGCCUGGGCAACGUGGGUCCUAGAGUGGAGGGGUCCGCGUCAGGCUGGCUUCACAGAGCAGCGAAGACCUCCCGCUCUCGACAGUGGAAGGAUAACGGGCUGGUGCUACCCAGGCCCACCACGGUCUAAUGGGCUGAGUCCUACUGAACCACCACUUUU